UACGUAGGGUGCGAGCGUUGUCCGGAAUUAUUGGGCGUAAAGGGCUCGUAGGCGGUCUGUCACGUCGGGAGUGAAAACUCAGGGCUUAACCCUGAGCCUGCUUCCGAUACGGGCUGACUAGAGGUAUGCAGGGGAGAACGGAAUUCCUGGUGUAGCGGUGAAAUGCGCAGAUAUCAGGAGGAACACCGGUGGCGAAGGCGGAUCUCUGGGCCGAUACUGACGCUGAGGAGCGAAAGCGUGGGGAGCGAACAGG
rnacentral:rRNA from 1 species